ACCAGCUAAAUUUUGGGGUACAAGCUGUGGUGCAUCAACCAUCUGCUGAGGGGAGGUGACCCAAAGAGGGAUUCAUAAUCUCAUGAUUAAUCAAAAAAUCCUCAUCAUCAUUAUAAGGCGGAGGAUUUUUAACAUUUCUUUUUAAAUUGUACAGUGAGGGAUACAAACAGGCAACACCAGUACCCUCUCCUUUACAUGCCCCUCCUGUUGCACCUGACUGGGGGGAACAUUCUUGCUUUUUCUUUUCAAUUUCCUCAUGCCAUAACAUAUAUGCAGACC